CAGCAGCCACGGUAAAACGGAGGGGGCUAGCGUUGUUCGGAAUUACUGGGCGUAAAGCGCACGUAGGCGGCUUGGUAAGUUAGAGGUGAAAGCCUGGAGCUCAACUCCAGAAUUGCCUUUAAGACUGCCGAGCUAGCAGGUGAGAGAGGUAAGUGGAAUUCCGAGUGUAGAGGUGAAAUUCGUAGAUAUUCGGAAGAACACCAGUGGCGAAGGCGGCUUACUGGCUCAUACUGGACGCUGAGGUGCGAAAGCGUGGGGAGCAAACAGGAUUAGAUACCCGUGUAGUCCCUGUCUCUUAUAC
rnacentral:rRNA from 1 species